GCCUGGAUAGCUCAGUCAGUAGAGCAUUAGAGUUCUAAUCUAAGGGCCCAGGGUUCAAGUCUCUGUUCAGGCA